rnacentral:rRNA from 1 species
GCAAGUCGAACGCGAAAGGGACUUCGGUCCUGAGUAAAGUGGCGCACGGGUGAGUAACGCGUGGAUAAUCUGCCCUUAUGAUCGGGAUAACAGUUGGAAACGGCUGCUAAUACCGGAUACGCUCAAAAUGAACUUUUUGAGGAAAGAUGGCCUCUGCUUGCAUGCUAUCACGUAAGGAUGAGUCCGCGUCCCAUUAGCUUGUUGGCGGGGUAACGGCCCACCAAGGCAACGAUGGGUAGCCGAUUUGAGAGGAUGAUCGGCCACACUGGAACUGAAACACGGUCCAGACUCCUACGGGAGGCAGCAGUGGGGAAUAUUGCGCAAUGGGCGAAAGCCUGACGCAGCGACGCCGCGUGAGGGGAAUGAAGGUUUUCGGAUCGUAAGCCUCUGUCAAAAGGGAAGAAACUACGUUGUGCUAAUCAGCAGCGUACUGACGGUACCUUCAAAGGAAGCACCGGCUAACUCCGUGCCAGCCGCCGC